UGUGUUCUCUAAUGAAAAACGCACAAGAUGCGCGAUUGCAAACAAGUAAUCGAGCCGCACAAUAAACACAUCAGCACGAUAAGGUUUAUAUGCAGUAUAGAUGGACGAUUUAGUAACAAAAGUUACUAAAAGCUGAUUGGCUCUUACUUGUUCAAGCUUACCAACUCGAGAUUGGCGCCAACUUGCAAGAUAGUCCUAUGUCAAGUUGUAAAAUCAGUAAACAAACAUAAUGUCAAGAUAUAAGGAAGGUUUCUAACUUUCUCUUGGUAAAUAUUUUCAAAGUUAAGUGUAAUGUUUAAGUGUAAUUGUUAAAUAAAUUAAAAAAAUCAGUAAAAAACAUUCAUUUAAGUAAACUUAAAUUGUAGUGGUGAUUUUUCGUGAUUGCAUGAAGAAGGCUCGGACAAAGAAAAGGAUCAUGCUGAAAGAUAUCACACUGGGGUGCCAAAGGGACAAAGGGACAAAGGGACAAAGGGACCUGAAAUGCUUUUUUCACAAAACGAAAAGUAAAUAGGCAGAGAAAAUGAGAUAAACUUACCAUUAGAAAAUGAGACACACAUUCAUUUUAUGAAAGAAGUGAUAACAGUGGCAAGCGACCAGCAGAGGAGGGAACAAAUGGCCAGAAGGCGGAGCAUCAUGGCACACGCUGAUAAUAACAAAUAGUCUGAAAUAUACUUAUACGUUCUCAUCUCUUUCGGAGUAAUCCAGCUGUGAAGGGACAAAAAAAACAGCUGAAUUGUAGUCGACGUGCAGAUAUAUGGCGUAGACAGAGUGAAAAAUGGUAGAAGCUAUAAAGAAUAUGAAGAAAUAAGGAAAUAUUUUAAUAGAAAAUGUGCCAAACGAGUCAACGCAAUUUUUAAAAGCUUUGUGCACAAAUUACAAACCUCCGAAUAAGCCUCUUGUGGAUCAAGACGCGUUAAAUGGCUACACAGUGCAGCAAAUUGAUAAGGCCAAUCUUGAGGAUUUUAUUUGUCUGUUUCUAAAUAAUUCCGAGCGACUCGUGGAGUUCCUGGAGCACUUAGUUAAAUCGGAUACAAAAUGGAAUACGCUUGUGUACAACACAUUAGUUGAACAUUAUUUGCACGUCUGGUCGGCUCUGAACAGUGACGUGGCUAAGGUGCAAUAUGAC